rnacentral:rRNA from 1 species
GUUUUCAAGACGGGUCGUUUUAAAACCAUUAAGUCAACAUCCUAAGCGUGGAAGAGCCGAACUAAGCGAGUCUGAAGAAGACAAGACGCAAAAUGCAAGCAUUGUACGCCAAACGACCCCAGAGCACCCAGUCAGCCUUGCCCGAGAGCACACACUGCGAAUCCUCAGUCCCACCCACUGUAUCGCCCCAGAGCUAUAACACAGCCAAAGCUGCUACCUUCUCUCGGGGUUUUGUCCAGCAAGCGAAACUGAUGUUGACCUGCGAACGAAAAAGUGCAUCACCCACAGCAAAGAUGAGAUAUCCGCCGGCCUUGCGGUCCGGACAAACACCAGCCCCUCACUGCGCUUGACUGAUUUUCCGCCUACAUAGCUGGUGUCAAACGUUUCCCUUUCAACAAUUUCACGCACUGUUUAACUCUCUUUUCAAAGUUCUUUUCAUCUUUCCCUCACGGUACUUGUUCGCUAUCGGUCUCUCGCCAAUAUUUAGCCUUAGAUGAAAUUUACCACCCAUUUUGAGCUGCAUUCCCAAACAACUCGACUCUUUGAAAACGUAUCACAUAGUAACAUCAGCCGAGUCAAAGACGGGAUUCUCACCCUCUAUGAUACCCUGUUCCAAAGGAUUUAUACCCGGCCUGCCACCGAAAACGCUUCUUUAAACUACAACUCGGACUGGUAAACCAGC